rnacentral:rRNA from 1 species
GACGAACGCUGGCGGCGUGCUUAACACAUGCAAGUCGAACGGAAAGGCCCUGCUUUUGUGGGGUGCUCGAGUGGCGAACGGGUGAGUAACACGUGAGUAACCUGCCCUUGACUUUGGGAUAACUUCAGGAAACUGGGGCUAAUACCGGAUAGGAGCUCCUGCUGCAUGGUGGGGGUUGGAAAGUUUCGGCGGUCGGGGAUGGACUCGCGGCUUAUCCGCUUGUUGGUGGGGUAGUGGCUUACCAAGGCUUUGACGGGUAGCCGGCCUGAGAGGGUGACCGGCCACAUUGGGACUGAGAUACGGCCCAGACUCCUACGGGAGGCAGCAGUGGGGAAUAUUGCACAAUGGGCGGAAGCCUGAUGCAGCAACGCCGCGUGCGGGAUGACGGCCUUCGGGUUGUAAACCGCUUUCGCCUGUGACGAAGCGUGAGUGACGGUAAUGGGUAAAGAAGCACCGGCUAACUACGUG